CCUACGGGAGGCAGCAGUGAGGAAUAUUGGUCAAUGGGCUUACGCCUGAACCAGCCAAGUCGCGUGAGGGAAGACUGCCCUAUGGGUUGUAAACCUCUUUUGUCAGGGAGCAAUUGGCGCUACGUGUAGCGUUAUCGAGAGUACCUGAAGAAAAAGCAUCGGCAAACUCCGUGCCAGCGGCCGGGGUAAUACGGAGGAGGAGGGCGUUAUCCGGAUUUAGUGGGUUUAAAGGGUGCGUAGGCGGAAUGCCAAGUCAGCGGUAAAAUCGCGGGGCUCAACCUCGCUCCGCCGUUGAAACUGGCGUUCUUGAGUGGGCGAGAGGUAUGCGGAAUGCGUGGUGUAGCGGUGAAAUGCAUAGAUAUCACGCAGAACUCCGAUUGCGAAGGCAGCAUACCGGCGCCCAACUGACGCUGAAGCACGAAAGCGUGGGUAUCGAACAGGAUUAGAUACCCUUGUAGUC
rnacentral:rRNA from 1 species